UUGACCUCAGAUCAGGUAGGAAUACCGCCUGAACUUAAGCAUAUCAAUAAGGCGAGGAACAGAAACCAACAGGGAUUCCCUCAGUAGUGGCGAAUGAAGCGGGAAAAGCUCAAGUUUGAAAUCUGGUUCAACCAGAGUUGUAAGCUGAUGAGGCGUCGACCGACGCGGUUCGGGCUCAAUUUCCUUGGAAUAGGAGGUCAUAGAGGGUGAGAACCCCGUCUGUGGCUCGAGUACCGUCGUCCUUGUGUCGUGCCCUCUAAGAGUCGGGUUGUUUGGGAAUGCAGCUCAAAAUGGGUGGUAAAUUUCAUCUAAAGCUAAAUACUGGCGAGAGACCGAUAGCGAACAAGUAGAGUGAUCUAAAGAUGAAAAGUACUUUGAAAAGAGAGUGAAACAGUACGUGAAAUUGUUGAAAGGGAAGCGCUUGGUAUCAGCCCAUGGCGUCAGUCUAUCAACCCGGCUUCUGUCGGGUGCACUGGUCUGACGUCGGGCCAGCGUCGACUUUGCCCGCUGGAGAAAGGUUCGAGGGAUGUGGCUCCUUGGAGCGUUAUACCCUUGGGCGUCAUGCGGUGGGUGAGGUCGAGGUCCGCG
rnacentral:rRNA from 1 species